GGGUUGUGAGGUUAAGCGACUAAGCGUACACGGUGGAUGCCCUGGCAGUCAGAGAGCGAUGAAGGACGUGCUAAUCUGCGAAAAGCGCCGGCGAGGUGAUAUGAACCUUUGACCCGGCGAUGUCCGAAUGGGGAAACCCAGUGCAAUCCGUUGCACUAUCGUUAACUGAAUACAUAGGUUAACGAGGCGAACCGGGGGAACUGAAACAUCUAAGUACCCCGAGGAAAGAGAAAUCAACCGAGAUUCCCCCAGUAGCGGCGAGCGAACGGGGAGCAGCCCGGAGUCUGAAUCAGCUUGUGUGUUAGUGGAACGGUCUGGAAAGUCCGACGGUACAGGGUGAUAGUCCCGUACACGAAAGCACAUUUGCUGUGAACUCGAAGAGUAGGGCGGGACACGUGGUAUCCUGUCUGAAUAUGGGGGGACCAUCCUCCAAGGCUAAAUACUCCUGACUGACCGAUAGUGAACCAGUACCGUGAGGGAAAGGCGAAAAGAACCCCGGCGAGGGGAGUGAAAAAGAACCUGAAACCGUGUACGUACAAGCAGUGGGAGCCUCUUUUUAUGGGGUGACUGCGUACCUUUUGUAUAAUGGGUCAGCGACUUAUAUUCUGUAGCAAGGUUAACCGUAUAGGGGAGCCGAAGGGAAACCGAGUCUUAACUGGGCGUUAAGUUGCAGGGUAUAGACCCGAAACCCGGUGAUCUAGCCAUGGGCAGGUUGAAGGUUGGGUAACACUAACUGGAGGACCGAACCGACUAAUGUUGAAAAAUUAGCGGAUGACCUGUGGCUGGGGGUGAAAGGCCAAUCAAACCGGGAGAUAGCUGGUUCUCCCCGAAAGCUAUUUAGGUAGCGCCUCGUGAACUCAUCUUCGGGGGUAGAGCACUGUUUCGGCUAGGGGGCCAUCCCGGCUUACCAACCCGAUGCAAACUACGAAUACCGAAGAAUGUUAUCACGGGAGACACACGGCGGGUGCUAACGUCCGUCGUGAAGAGGGAAACAACCCAGACCGCCAGCUAAGGUCCCAAAGUCAUGGUUAAGUGGGAAACGAUGUGGGAAGGCACAGGACAGCCAGGAUGUUGGCUUAGAAGCAGCCAUCAUUUAAAGAAAGCGUAAUAGCUCACUGGUCGAGUCGGCCUGCGCGGAAGAUGUAACGGGGCUAAACCAUGCACCGAAGCUGCGGCAGCGACACUAUGUGUUGUUGGGUAGGGGAGCGUUCUGUAAGCCGUUGAAGGUGUGCUGUGAGGCAUGCUGGAGGUAUCAGAAGUGCGAAUGCUGACAUAAGUAACGAUAAAGCGGGUGAAAAGCCCGCUCGCCGGAAGACCAAGGGUUCCUGUCCAACGUUAAUCGGGGCAGGGUGAGUCGACCCCUAAGGCGAGGCCGAAAGGCGUAGUCGAUGGGAAACAGGUUAAUAUUCCUGUACUUGGUGUUACUGCGAAGGGGGGACGGAGAAGGCUAUGUCAGCCGGGCGACGGUUGUCCCGGUUUAAGCAUGUAGGCGGAGGUUCCAGGUAAAUCCGGUACCUUGUUAACGCUGAGGUGUGAUGACGAGGCACUACGGUGCUGAAGUGAUAAAUGCCCUGCUUCCAGGAAAAGCCUCUAAGCAUCAGGUAACACGAAAUCGUACCCCAAACCGACACAGGUGGUCAGGUAGAGAAUACCAAGGCGCUUGAGAGAACUCGGGUGAAGGAACUAGGCAAAAUGGUGCCGUAACUUCGGGAGAAGGCACGCUGAUAUGUAGGUGAAGCCCCUGCGGGCGGAGCUGAAAUCAGUCGAAGAUACCAGCUGGCUGCAACUGUUUAUUAAAAACACAGCACUGUGCAAACACGAAAGUGGACGUAUACGGUGUGACGCCUGCCCGGUGCCGGAAGGUUAAUUGAUGGGGUUAGCGGCAACGCGAAGCUCUUGAUCGAAGCCCCGGUAAACGGCGGCCGUAACUAUAACGGUCCUAAGGUAGCGAAAUUCCUUGUCGGGUAAGUUCCGACCUGCACGAAUGGCGUAAUGAUGGCCAGGCUGUCUCCACCCGAGACUCAGUGAAAUUGAACUCGCUGUGAAGAUGCAGUGUACCCGCGGCAAGACGGAAAGACCCCGUGAACCUUUACUAUAGCUUGACACUGAACACUGGUCCUUGAUGUGUAGGAUAGGUGGGAGGCUUUGAAGCGUGGACGCCAGUCUGCGUGGAGCCAACCUUGAAAUACCACCCUUUAAUGGCUGGUGUUCUAACGUAGACCCGUAAUCCGGGUUGCGGACAGUGUCUGGUGGGUAGUUUGACUGGGGCGGUCUCCUCCCAAAGAGUAACGGAGGAGCACGAAGGUUGGCUAAUCCUGGUCGGACAUCAGGAGGUUAGUGCAAUGGCAUAAGCCAGCUUGACUGCGAGCGUGACGGCGCGAGCAGGUGCGAAAGCAGGUCAUAGUGAUCCGGUGGUUCUGAAUGGAAGGGCCAUCGCUCAACGGAUAAAAGGUACUCCGGGGAUAACAGGCUGAUACCGCCCAAGAGUUCAUAUCGACGGCGGUGUUUGGCACCUCGAUGUCGGCUCAUCACAUCCUGGGGCUGAAGUAGGUCCCAAGGGUAUGGCUGUUCGCCAUUUAAAGUGGUACGCGAGCUGGGUUUAGAACGUCGUGAGACAGUUCGGUCCCUAUCUGCCGUGGGCGCUGGAGAAUUGAGGGGGGCUGCUCCUAGUACGAGAGGACCGGAGUGGACGCAUCACUGGUGUUCGGGUUGUCAUGCCAAUGGCACUGCCCGGUAGCUAAAUGCGGAAGAGAUAAGUGCUGAAAGCAUCUAAGCACGAAACUUGCCCCGAGAUGAGUUCUCCCUGAGACCUUGAGUCUCCUGAAGGAACGUUGAAGACUACGACGUUGAUAGGUCGGGUGUGUAAGCGCAGCGAUGCGUUGAGCUAACCGAUACUAAUGAACCGUGAGGCUUAACCUUACAACGCCGAAGCUGUU
rnacentral:rRNA from 1 species